GACUAUCAGAACCCGGGAAAUGUUUGACACUAAAACCCACAAGCUAGGAUGGAUGUGACAGCAGAGGCAGAAACACCGCGUGUGCACGAAGACGAACCGCGCCAGUUUGUGCUGAAACCAAAAACGUUCCAUACAAGGUAUCCAUGGUAACAAAACAGCUUAACCGCAAUGAAGGAAAAGGUUAACAGCAAGGCAGAAAAACGCAGCUUAAAUUUAGCUUCAGUCAGUAAGGGAACAAGCUCUUACGGUGGUUGAUGAAGCACAAGGAUGACUUUAAUAAAUCAUUUUACCGUCAGUUCCGGCCCUCUCAGAGUUGACUGAAUGCUACAAAUCCAUUGGGGCCAUGCGGGCAAAUUUUGACUGGAAAUGUGGGGAAUGUGAUAACUUCUGAUGAAGAGUCGGUCAGCACACCAGUACUGACCUGAUGCUACAGGCUCACAGAGAAACUCUGCAGGCAGGUUAAAACAACACAGCAGGAUGCCAAAUCAAUAUCCUCCAACACUUGAGAGACCGAGGCGUCUAAAGUGAAUCCCUGCGGCCUUGGGGACUUGACUGAAGUGUGUUGCCCGCUAACACCUCCUGCCGCGUGGGUGUGAUAAACUGGCGCACACUUCCGGACCAUCGCACGAGUGGAAACAGUUGGGCACUGCCAGAUCCUUGUCACAAGGGCCAAGUCUUGAUGUGUGUGUUAUGCUUUCUGCUGCGCGGGAUCAGAGCAAAGUCAAAAUUGGAUGAAGACAACAGAAUGCAUCAAAGGCAGGAGAAGACAAUUGUCAACACUUCUUCUCUCCCAACGACUGCUGGCACCCAAGAUGUGGGCGCAAAGCUAAGCAGGAGACAGAGGAGAGAGGGGGAGAGGGCUGAGUGUCUGAAGAACGGUGCGGCGGAGUGUGUGCAGACGUGAAUAUUAAGGU